AACAGCUUCAGUUUUGCCUCCAGAUGUGGAAAUCUGAAAGGUCCUGAACCUCCUGCAGUGUGUGCUGGAGCAGCCUUCCUUCACAUGAUGUGACAUUUUCUUUCCAGCUGAGAGCAGAGUCCCCCAUGCAUCCCCCUUCAUUUUUGGCCUUCCAGCACCAUCUGUGCGAGCUAAUGCUGCCCAGAUCCUUCUCCAAGGGGCACCGAGGUGCUGGCACGCAGAAGCAAAGCCCCGGGGCUGGAUCUCCGAAACCCAAGAAACCUCAAAUGCAUUGUGUUUCCAUAAAUGCUCCUCAGCUGACUGGGCUGUGGGGAGUUUCUGCUCUCCUCAACCCUCUCCUUUGGGAGUGGGAGGCGCAGGUCGCAAAUGAGUUUUCUGACCGCCCCUGGGCAGGAAUGGCGCUGCCGUCGGAGCGUGAGGGAAGCACAGCCACCACGGGAGGUGAGAGCUGCUCCGGGGCCAGCGGGCCCAGCCUGACUGACACGGCCCCGAGCCAGGGCCCUGCUUGGGCAGGCCCUGCCCUCAGCGCAGGUGAGGUGUCGCCACCCCGCCGGGCCAUGGCAGCUUUCCUCAGGAACGGCAGGCAAGCUGAAAGAGAAUUUCUGGUCUCCAAACCACAUGAAGACUCUUGUUCUGAUACUGUGCGUUCCCUGGAACUUCAUGUGUGGUGGGAAGAAUGGAAGGGCAAAACAGAGAGGUUCUACCCUUUAGAAGUGCUGAAAGCCCCUUGGACUUGAAGAAUAUCCUGAAUUUCGACUAUCUUCAUCAAGAGAAGAAGAUAUUCAGCACCAGUGGAUCAAAGCUGAGAUCCUGUUGAGAUCCCAGGGCAGAAAUGGAUCUUCUGAAAAGCAGACACAUACGGUUGAAAGCACAGUGUGGUAUAUUGCUUACACUGGGAGAAGCUGUGCAGCCAAUGAAUUGAGAACAAGGUCAAGUGGCAGGAGUUCUCACACCCAGCAUUCAGCUUGCCAUUGAUAUUACAUAUUGCCUUGGCCAAAUUGUCUGGUAGCACUGCCUAA